rnacentral:tRNA from 1 species
GACUGGCUGGCUCAGUCAGUAGAGCAUACAACUCUUAAUCUUGGGGUUGUGAGUUCGAGUCCCAUGUUAGGCA